rnacentral:rRNA from 1 species
UACGUAGGGUGCGAGCGUUGUCCGGAAUUACUGGGCGUAAAGAGCUCGUAGGUGGUUUGUCGCGUUGUUCGUGAAAACUCACAGCUCAACUGUGGGCGUGCGGGCGAUACGGGCAGACUGGAGUACUGCAGGGGAGACUGGAAUUCCUGGUGUAGCGGUGAAAUGCGCAGAUAUCAGGAGGAACACCGGUGGCGAAGGCGGGUCUCUGGGCCGAUACUGACGCUGAGGAGCGAAAGCGUGGGGAGCAAACAGG